rnacentral:rRNA from 1 species
CAUGCAAGUCGAACGGCUGUACCAAUACAGCAGUGGCAGACGGGUGAGUAACACGUGGGAACCUUCCUAGGGGUACGGAACAACUCAGGGAAACUUGAGCUAAUACCGUAUACGUCCGUAAGGAGAAAGUUUUAACGCCCCUAGACGGGCCCGCGUCGGAUUAGCUAGUUGGUGGGGUAACGGCCUACCAAGGCGACGAUCCGUAGCUGAUCUUAGAGGAUGAUCAGCCACACUGGGACUGAGACACGGCCCAGACUCCUACGGGAGGCAGCAGUGGGGAAUCUUGGACAAUGGGCGCAAGCCUGAUCCAGCCAUGCCGCGUGAGUGAAAAAGGUCUUCGGAUUGUAAAGCUCUUUUACCAGGGACGAUAAUGACGGUACCUGGAGAAUAAGCCCCGGCAAACUUCGUGCCAGCAGCCGCGGUAAUACGAAGGGGGCUAGCGUUGUUCGGAAUUACUGGGCGUAAAGCGCACGUAGGCGGGUUAU